AUUCAGCUGAUGAGUCUCAUAUAGGACGAAGUGGCAUGUGUCCUGGAU
rnacentral:hammerhead_ribozyme from 1 species